GACGGAGGAUGCAAGCGUUAUCCGGAAUGAUUGGGCGUAAAGCGUCCGCAGGUGGCAGUUCAAGUCUGCUGUCAAAGACCGGGGCUUAACUUCGGAAAGGCAGUGGAAACUGAACAGCUAGAGUAUGGUAGGGGCAGAGGGAAUUCCUGGUGUAGCGGUGAAAUGCGUAGAGAUCAGGAAGAACAUCGGUGGCGGAGGCGCUCUGCUGGACCAUAACUGACACUCAGGGACGAAAGCGUGGGGAGCGAACAGG
rnacentral:rRNA from 1 species